rnacentral:rRNA from 1 species
AGAGUUUGAUCCUGGCUCAGAUUGAACGCUGGCGGCAUGCUUUACACAUGCAAGUCGAACGGCAGCGCGGGGCAACCUGGCGGCGAGUGGCGAACGGGUGAGUAAUAUAUCGGAACGUACCCAAGAGUGGGGGAUAACGUAGCGAAAGUUACGCUAAUACCGCAUACGAUCCAAGGAUGAAAGUGGGGGAUUCGCAAGAACCUCAUGCUCCUGGAGCGGCCGAUAUCUGAUUAGCUAGUUGGUAGGGUAAAGGCCUACCAAGGCUACGAUCAGUAGCUGGUCUGAGAGGACGACCAGCCACACUGGAACUGAGACACGGUCCAGACUCCUACGGGAGGCAGCAGUGGGGAAUUUUGGACAAUGGGCGCAAGCCUGAUCCAGCAAUGCCGCGUGAGUGAAGAAGGCCUUCGGGUUGUAAAGCUCUUUUGUCAGGGAAGAAACGGUGGGGGCUAAUAUCCUCCACUAAUGACGGUACCUGAAGAAUAAGCACCGGCUAACUACGUGCCAGCAGCCGCGGUAAUACGUAGGGUGCAAGCGUUAAUCGGAAUUACUGGGCGUAAAGCGUGCGCAGGCGGUUUUGUAAGUCUGUCGUGAAAGCCCCGGGCUCAACCUGGGAAUUGCGAUGGAGACUGCAAGGCUUGAAUCUGGCAGAGGGGGGUAGAAUUCCACGUGUAGCAGUGAAAUGCGUAGAGAUGUGGAGGAACACCGAUGGCGAAGGCAGCCCCCUGGGUCAAGAUUGACGCUCAUGCACGAAAGCGUGGGGAGCAAACAGGACUAGAUACCCUGGUAGUCCACGCCCUAAACGAUGUCUACUAGUUGUCGGGUUUAAUUAACUUGGUAACGCAGCUAACGCGUGAAGUAGACCGCCUGGGAGUACGGUCGCAAGAUUAAAACUCAAAUGAUUUGACGG